rnacentral:rRNA from 1 species
UACGUAGGGGGGCAAGCGUUGUCCGGAUUUAUUGGGCGUAAAGAGCGUGUAGGCGGUUCGGUAGGUCCGUUGUGAAAACUCGAGGCUCAACCUCGAGACGCCGAUGGAAACCAUCGAACUAGAGUCCGGAAGAGGAGAGUGGAAUUCCUGGUGUAGCGGUGAAAUGCGCAGAUAUCAGGAAGAACACCCGUGGCUAAGGCGGCUCUCUAGUACGGUACUGACGCUGAGACGCGAAAGCGUGGGGAGCGAACAGG